AUCCAGCUGACGAGUCUCAAAUAGGAUGAAACGCACUUCCUGGGU
rnacentral:hammerhead_ribozyme from 1 species